GGUUCCAGUUGUUAACUGAAAAAAUCCUUCGAGUGCUCUCUCUCUGGCUCGCGUUUCCUUCUCCGCCCUCGCGAUCUCGCAACGCAGCUGUUCUCCUGUUACCGGUCGUCGCCCGCCGUCUUUGUCGGCCGCUUUCUCAGCUGCUGCAGCAGCCUUCCGUCUCUCGCUGUCCCCGCAGUCGGCUUGUCGCAUCGUAGCAGCUCCGAUUGCCGACGCCCUUUGCAGUAGCGUCGAUCGUUCGCCGCGGCGUAGAAGCUGUGACCCCGUGUCCCGCCCCUGCGGUCAGCGGUCGUGCCAACGUUUGCGGUCGCUUCCGGCAACACUGCAGCCGCCGCCCGGUCCGAGCAGUUGUAGCCCUUGUCAUUCUCCGUUAUCUCCGAGCGUGAAAGAAAGUGAAGUUUCCGCUAAAGUGAUCACCAGUGGCAGCAAGGAGGCACACUUUCUCCACUUUGGUGUUUGAUCGGAAAAUCACAGCGCGAGGUGGAUGGAAAAUAGUCAACCCUUACUGUAUCAAGCAUCUACUACCACAGAUACUUCAACCAAUGUUUCAUCUGAACACAUUUUAACAAACUUGGACACUGCGCUUGGUGUUGAAAACUCUGAUCCUGUUUCUGCAAUGCCAUUGACCAAUAUUUCUAUUACUGAUGGUGGUGGCUCCUAUGAAAACAAUCCAAGUUUGACGCCAGAAAAUGUUCCAGUUGAUUCUGUAGCUGAUGUGCAUACUGAAAGCACUACCAACAAAGAAAAUAAGGCAGAUGCCUCAACACAUGCAGUUGGUUAUGAUUCAGUUAAUGGAAACAUCAAUGAAAUGGUAAAUUAUCAAGCUGUUGGAGCCAUUGAGAAUGGGGUUAUGUCAGGUGAUACUGGCGGAGCUGCCAUUGAGCACGUGUAUGGAGAUGUGGUGUAUUCAGCUGAGGAGGAAAGGUUAUGGAAUUUGGUUCAGGUGAAUUGUUUAGAUUUCAAUGCGUGGACAUCACUUAUUGAUGAAACAGAAAAAGUUGCUGAGAAUGACAUUAUCAAAAUUCGAAAAGUUUAUGAUGCAUUCUUGGCUGAAUUUCCCUUAUGUUAUGGCUACUGGAAGAAAUAUGCUGAUCAUGAGGGGCGUUUGGACAGUAUCAACAAAGUGGUGGAGGUGUAUGAACGAGCUGUUCUAGCAGUAACCUACUCUGUUGAAAUUUGGCUGCAUUACUGUACUUUUGCAAUUUCAACAUAUGAAGAUCCUGAUAUUAUCCGAAGGUUGUUUGAACGUGGACUGGCAUAUGUUGGCACUGAUUAUCUGUCAUACCAGUUGUGGGAUGAGUACAUUAGAUAUGAGGAGUCUCAUCAGGCAUGGAGUAAUCUGGCCAUGAUUUAUACCAGAAUUUUGGAGAAUCCAAUUCAACAACUAGAUCGCUAUUUUAACUGCUUUAAAGAGCUGGCAUCCAUUCAUCCUCUGUCCGAAAUACGUAUGGCUGAGGAAGCUGCUAUUGUGAUUUCCACUUUGGAUUCUAGCUUGGAAUCUCUUCAUGGCGAAGUUCAUGACGAUGUAGUAGAACAAUCUUCUAAACCCGUAAGUGCAGGUUUAACAGAAGCUGAGGAGUUGGAGAAGUAUAUUGCUAUUAGGGAAGAGAUGUAUAAGAAAGCUAAAGAGUUCGAUUCUAAGAUCAUUGGUUUUGAAACAGCUAUCAGAAGGCCAUACUUCCAUGUCAGGCCUCUUGAUGAUAUAGAGCUUGAAAAUUGGCACCAUUAUCUUGAUUUUAUCGAGAGAGGAGAUGAUUUCAACAAGGUUGUUAAGUUGUACGAAAGAUGUUUAAUUGCUUGUGCCAAUUAUCCGGAGCUUUGGAUCCGCUAUGUUCUAUGCAUGGAAGCAAGUGGAAGCAUGGAACUUGCCUAUAAUGCUCUUGCUAGGGCAACUCAAGUCUUUGUUAAGAAACAACCUGAGAUUCAUCUAUUCGCUGCUAGAUUCAAGGAACUAAGUGCUGAUAUUGACGGAGCUCGCACAACAUAUCAGUUUCUUUACUCUGAAGUUUCUCCUGGUUUGUUGGAACCUAUUGUGAAACAUGCAAAUAUGGAAUAUCGAUUGGGUGAGAAAGAGGCAGCUUUCUCUAUUUAUGAGAGAGCUAUAAAUGCUGAACAGGAGAAAGAGCAUUCUCAGCUGCUACCAUUGUUGCUUAUUCAAUACUCACGCUUUCUUUAUUUGGUUGUUGGUGAUGCAGAGAAGGCAAGGGAGGUUCUAUCUGGACAUCUUGAAAAUAUGCAACUAUCACGAUUAGUUCUUGAGGCUGUCAUCCACCUAGAGUCAAUACAGUCAUUGCCAAAGCGUGUUGAUUACUUGGAUUCAAUGGUGGAGAAAUUUAUUAUGCCAAAUCCUGGUAAUGCUAAUCUCGCUAGUGCCAUUGACCGAGAAGAGAUAUCAUGCAUCUUUUUAGAGUUUUUGGAUCUCUUUGGAGAUGCACAGUCAAUUAAAAAAGCCUCCAACCGGCAUGCUAUUCUUUUUUUACGUCAAAAGGGCAUGGUGGUAUCAAAAAAAAGGCAUGCUGAAGAUUUCCUUGCCUCGGACAAUGCUAAGAUGGCAAAGAACUUUCAUGAACCAGGUCAGUCAGCAUUGGGGGCCUAUACAAAUGUUCAAAGUCAGUGGCCAGCUGGCUAUGGACAAACAGCUCCUGCUUGGCCAACAGCCACCCAGCCACAGACCCAGUGGAAUCCUGGAUAUUCGUCACAUGCUGGAUAUGCUGCAUAUGGAAGUUAUGCAAAUUCUGGCCAGCCACAAGUUGCUACAUCAGCUCCUCAGAGUGCUGCUUACGGUGCUUAUCCACCUACAUACCAGUUUGAUGUUUGAUCAUGGGAUGGGAAAGAGUCUGAUUAGUAGUAGGGAUCUGUCAAGUAACUUUUACAAGGCUCAUCCUCAACUGGGUUAUGCGCAGCCAUCGUCAGCAGCAGUAGCACCGGGUUUUCCUCCUCAGCCAGUAGCAGCCCCACAGCCAUAUUAUGGCAGCUAUUGAUGACAUCUUGUUUUUGACACUUGCUGUCUUCUUUUGCUGCCAUUGUAUGCUUAGAAAUACAACACGAUGGAUCGCAGUUGGAUUUUAAUUGCUACAUGGAAAUAGAAUUUGGUGGAAGGCAGGCUUUGUGAAAGCAAGAAGAAUUAAGCAGACUCUGAUCCUUGUCGCCCUCACUUAACAUUUCUGCUUCAAUCCUCUUCGCAUCCUCCUACCUAGUAACUAAUCUUCAUACGGAGAAGUUAACUGGAUUGUAUGCAUCUAGAAGAGUUGGUGCUAUAUCUCCUCUCUCUCGUUUGUCGCUGUAAACAGUCUAUUUGUGAGAAAUGGCACUAAACAUGUGCUGUAGUAGCGGUAUAUUGAUUUUGUGUAAUCGUAGUCUAUGCUAGCAACUCUUGAUAUGCAAACGAAGUAGCAUUUCUAUGCUAACUCAACUCUCCUCUCCGUCUUCUCUCCUAUAGUUCAUGAUUAUAUUAAGCCUUGACCUUACAGGCGGGCAUAGUUGGUUCAUGUAAGGAAGUGUUGUCAAUAGAGGCAGGUGUAGUUGGUUCAUAAGUUGUCAAUGGAUAUGAGAUUAAUUUUUAA